rnacentral:lncRNA from 1 species
GAAGACAAGUAAACUGCAUAUUAAAGCGGACUGUGACCUCAUAGACUGAUGAAAUUUGAAACACUUAAGCUACAUAUGCUGCUUCUGGGUUAUGUGUUCUGUGUCAUAUCUUAGCUUCCUUUUUCAGACAAUACAUCUUUGAUGAUCGAAAACAACAACAACCUGAUACAGUUCCUUGCAGUUCUAAAAGCCCAAUAGUCCAGAAUACAAAGUCUCUAUUAUGUUCUUCUCUGGAUAAAAGAACUUGUGGACUUUAUAACAUAAUCCAAGAAUGAAGAAAAAAAAAACAACCAAAACCUACCUUUAGGAACAAAGAGGGCACAUAGCAGGAAGCUGAAAUACAGAACGUCUUCUGAGAACACAGAGAACAUUUAGCAAAAAGUGGAAAAUCUGACAACACUGUACAGUCGCAGUCUUCCUCUCCAUAACAAUAAUUUUUUCUCCUCUCACUAAAAUAGAGCAAUUUUUAUUGUCACAAGCCCAUGUGUAUUACUGGCAAUAGGGAUAUAGCUGUAUAGGACACCUCCUUAAACAUCUCCUUUAUUUUAAGAUUCAGUUAGGGGGAAAUGACUAGUUUCCCAGCACUUUCUGGUUACCAUGGAUACCUGUCAUCCACAUCCAGAGCCUGCAGGUUACACUCAGGGACUCUUGCCAGCUCAUGAAUAAUAUCGCUGAAGCCCGCUGCCGCUGCGAUAUGUACACAUGUCUUCCCACUCUCAUCAUCAUAGUUGAUUAUGGACGGCCCCUGGUGAUGGCUCAGAAUGAUGGAGCACAGAAUCCUAUUUCCACUCUGGAAAAGAGAGUCAAAGAAAGCCCAUUAUGUACAAUCCAGUGUUCUUCUCUGUCUAGGCAUGUUAAGAUAAAAAUACAAAGGAAAAAAAGGAAAGAAAGAAAGAAAGAAAAAAGAUGAAAAGAGAAAAGGAAAUGGAAAAAAAAGAAUAAAAAUACACUCUAUCUAA